rnacentral:lncRNA from 1 species
AUAAACAAAUUCCACUGGUGGGGGUUGUUAGUGGGUGGUGACUCUUUAUAACUCACGUAUAAUGAUAUCAUCUGAUGAGGUCACUUUUCAGCCGACGGUGAUGUCAUUGAAUCGUCUCAUCCAACGGUUGAAAGCUAUCGGCUUUCAGUAUUAAAAAGACCUCCCAACUAGGAGUAUUAUAUUAACGAAACCAAGAAUAAAGUAGUGAAACAACAAAGCAAGAGCCUCGUACCCAUAUUUAUUUCUCCUUCCGCGUUACAAUAAUAUAACAGAAAAUUUCUUGCCAUGGAUGGCAGCCAGAGAAAACGAAAGAAAUCAAGGUCCGGCAACGUUGACGGUAAUACUAGACGGCAUAAGAAAGAGGCCACGACAACGAUAACAACAACGACAACAACAACAACAACUCCACCGCCCACGGAGGAGGAAGUAGACGAGUUCUUUACCAUAUUGAACCGCAUGCGCGUCACGGCGAAGUAUUUGAAGAGUAGCAAAAGUGCUAACGCUAACAACGACGGUGAUGUUAUUUUUCCAGCAACAGAAUUACCGGUUCUACAUGAAGCAAAGGUUGAGGUUAAAGUAGGCGAUGCUAAUUUGGUCUUGGACUUGAAUUCUCUCCCGGACGGCGAGAUUAAUAGUGAUUAACUCACAUCUGUUGAUGCUAAUUAUUCAUGUAUGCCACUCCUUUGUUAUAUUUGUUUAUGACAAUUCUACCUUUAUUAUGUUUUAGACUUAUGCUUGGUGAAAAUCGAACUGCAAGGAUCUAAUGGAAAAAGUAUAUACUCCUCUUCUCUGUCAAAAAAAAAAAGAGUAUAUACUCCUUUUCAAUCUUUAAACUGAUUAAUUCAACAUCUAUUUUUAUAAUAAUACUUUUAAUAAUUUCCUCUUUGUUGUUUUGAAAUUAUAUAUCUUUAAAUUAAUAUAUUAUUUAUACAUUGCAUAAUCUCUUACAAAUGAUAUAUUAACAUAUCAUAUAUCGCUCAAAUGUUAUCAUUAAUUUUCUAAUACCCUAUCUGUUUUAAAAUAUAGGUCGUCGUUUGAUUUUUUCGUAUAAAAAUUUAUCUGUUGUAGUCGUAUAACUAAAAUAAUUAUUCUUAAAAUUUUUAUUAUUUAAAUUAUAAUAUUAAUCAUAUAUUCUUAUUCAUAGAUAUUUAAUAGAUAAUAGUUAUACGGUUCAAAAUUUUAAAAAUAUAUAUCAGAAAAUCAAGGACUUACUCCCUCCGUCCCUCUCCUCUCAGUAGUUUAUGUAUACUGUUUGCACGCAUUUCGAGGCUCAUAUAAAGUAUAGUUUUAUAAUUUUUUUUUAAAUUUAUUUUUUUUGAAUAAAAAUUUAAACAUCAAAUUUUUAUUCAGAAGAAAAAAAAUUAAAAAUAUAUUAUAAAAAUAUAUUUUAAAUGAGCAUAGAAAUCAUGCCAAAAAGUAAUACAAUGAGAGGUAUGGACUAUGGAGGGAGGAAGUAUAUUUUAAACUAACAGAAUUAUUAGCGUCUGGCAGAACAUAAAAAGGAGAAAAAGUGGGGUGACAAGCACAUGAAAUAUUGUGCUCCUCACAUGUAAAUUUGUCUUGAAAAGGUCAAGUGCACAAUUCAAAAUAUCAUGAUUGAAUGAUGAAUCUGCUAACAACCAGCAUGAAUUUAGACUGUGCAAAUGUUCUUGUCGGUAGGGCAGGACUCGCUGAAGAAAGGACACAACUAUACAAGGCCUGCGCUAAGAUUUUAAUGCUCCAAGCUGGAAAAAGAAAGCGCCACAUAAUGAGGCUGUUCAUCG